GAGUUUGCAGCCAGGUGAGCUCCAGGAAGCUGGGCUGGUUGUGCCACUCAGUCAGCCUGCGUGCCUUCAUCAAAGAGCUCGUAGCUUUGCCUCCCACCUGCGUGGGGCUUCUAGAAGCAUCUACCUGGGUGUCCCUUGGUCCUGCAGCCCCAAACGUCGCAUGCUGCAUCCAUCCUAUGCCUGUGGCAGACCUGCACAGAGCGGGUGCCUCAAAGGUGGACUGUGGAGGCUUCUCACUCCUGGGAGGUGGGAGCUGGUGCACAAAGGACACUCCACUCUCAGAAGCAGGUGUUCUCAGGCUCCGGCCCAGUAGGCCUGUGGGGCGGCCAGUCUCUAGCAUCCACGCCAGCGUCUCCAGGAACAGCGGGAGCCCCACCGUCACCUAAGCAGCGCGACCCCAUUCUGUGUCCGCCUUGGCCGGCAAGAUGAUGCCCGUGUCCCCGGAGGUGAAGACCAACCCGCUGCAGAAGGCGAACUUCUGCUCGCGCCUGUUUGUCUGGUGGCUAAACCCCUUGUUUAAAAUUGGUCACAAACGGAAAUUAGAACCAGAUGACAUGUACUCGGUGCUUCCGGAAGAUCGCUCCCAGUGCCUUGGAGAAGAGCUGCAAGGGUACUGGGAUCAGGAAGUUAAGAGAGCCCAGAAAGACGCACAGGAGCCUUCCUUAAUGAAAGCAAUCGUAAAGUGUUACUGGAAAUCCUAUUUAAUUUGGGGAAUGUUUGCAUUUCUUGAGGAAGGCACCAGAGUAGUUCAACCCAUAUUUUUGGGGAAAAUGAUUAGUUAUGUUGAAAACUAUGAUCCUAAUGAUUCUGCUGCUUUGCACGAAGCCUACGGCUAUGCGGCAGGGCUGAGCGCCUGUGUGCUCGUGUGGGCCAUUCUGCACCACUUGUACUUCUAUCACAUUCAGCGUGUGGGGAUGAGGCUGAGAGUAGCCGUGUGCCACAUGAUCUACCGCAAGGCCCUUCGCCUGAGUAGCUCAGCCAUGGGGAAGACCACCACAGGCCAGAUCGUCAACCUGCUGUCCAACGAUGUGAGCAGGUUUGACCAGGUAAUGAUGUUCUUGCACUAUCUGUGGGUGGGACCACUGCAGGCUAUCGCAGUGACUGCCCUGCUCUGGAUGGAAAUAGGAAUGUCGUGUCUUGCUGGGAUGGCAGUUCUCAUUAUUCUUCUGCUUUUGCAAAGUUGCAUCGGGAAGUUGUUUUCAUCACUCCGGAGUAAGACCGCAGCUCUCACAGAUGACAGGAUCAGGACCAUGAGUGAAGUCAUAACUGGCAUCAGAACAAUAAAAAUGAAUGUUUGGGAAAAGUCAUUUAUAGACCUUAUUACCGAAUUGAGAAGGAAGGAAAUUUCUAAGAUUCUGAGAAGUUCCUACCUUAGGGGCAUGAAUUUGGCAUCAUUUUUUGCUGUGAGCAAAAUCAUGAUUUUUGUCACCUUCAUCAGCAAUGUGGUUCUUGAAAACAUGAUCACAGCCAGCCAAGUGUUUGUGGUGGUGACGCUGUUCGAGGCUCUGAGAUGUUCAAGCACCCUCUACUUCCCCAUGGCCAUCGAGAAGGUGUCAGAGGUCAUCGUCAGCAUCCAAAGAAUCAAGAACUUUCUCUUACUUGAUGAGAUGUCACAGUACUACCCUCAGCUUCCAUCAGAUGGUAAAAUGAUAGUGGAUGUGCAUACUUUUACAGCUUCUUGGGAAAAGGCAUCAGCAACCCCAACCCUACAAGGACUUUCCUUUACUGUCAGACCUGGUCAACUGUUAGCUGUGGUUGGACCUGUGGGUGCAGGAAAGUCGUCACUGUUAAGCGCUCUGCUGGGGGAGCUGCCCCCAAGCCAGGGGAAAGUCAACGUCCACGGGAGGAUCGCGUAUGUUUCUCAGCAGCCCUGGGUGUAUCCAGGGACUGUAAAGAGUAACAUUUUAUUUGGGAAGAAAUAUAAAGAAGACAGAUAUGAAGAAGUAAUAAGGGCUUGUGCUUUGGAAGAGGAUUUACAGCAUUUGAAGGAAAGAGAUCUAACUGAGAUAGGAGACAAAGGAACCCCGCUGAGUGAAGGACAGAAAGCCCGGAUCAACCUUGCAAGAGCUGUGUAUCAGGAUGCAGACAUCUACCUCCUGGACGAUCCGCUCAGCUCAGUGGAUGCAAUCGUCAGCAGGCACUUGUUUGAACAGUGUAUUCAUCAGGCCUUGAAGGAGAAGAUCACAAUCUUAGUCACUCAUCAGUUGCAGUACCUAAAAGAUGCAAGUCAGAUUCUGAUAUUGAAAGAUGGCAAAAUGGUGGAAAGAGGAACUUACUCUGAGUUCCUGAAAGCUGGGGUAGAUAUUUUUUCCCUAUUUGAGAAGGGGAAUGAGCAGUCUGAACCAUCUGCAGUUCCAGGAACUCCCACUGUGAUCUCUGAGUCUUUGGUUCAGUCUCUCCAGUCUCCCAGACCCUCGUUGCAAGAUGCAGCUCCAGAAGACCAAGAAUCUGAAAAUAUACAGGUUACACUACCUCUAGAGGAUCAUUUGGAAGGAAAAGUUGGUUUUAAAACCUAUAAGAAUUACUUCACAGCUGGUGCUAACUGGUCUGUCAUCAUCUUCCUUAUUCUAGUAAACAUUGCAGCUCAGGUCGCCUACACCCUGCAGGACUGGUGGCUUGCAUACUGGGCGAAUCUACAAAGUGACCUGUAUUCUGGGACAUUAGUAAAAGAACAUGAAGCUGUAGUGUUCGUUCUGAACUGGUACUUAGGAGUUUAUUCAGGGUUAACUGUGUCUACUGUCCUUUUUGGCAUCACAAGGUCUCUGUUGAUAUUCUACAUCCUCGUUAAUUCUUCACAAACUUUGCACAACAAAAUGUCAGAGACCAUUUUAAGAGCUCCAGUAUUGUUCUUCCAUAGAAAUCUAAUAGGAAGAAUUUUAAAUCGUUUCUCCAAAGACAUUGGGCAUAUGGAUGACUUGCUGCCUCUGAUAUUUCAAGAUUUCAUCCAGGCAUUUCUACUUGUGAUUGGUGUGGUGGGCCUGAUGGUGGCUGCAGUUCCUUGGAUUGCUAUACCUGUGAUUCCCCUUGGUAUCAGUUUCUUUUUUCUUUGGCGAUAUUUCUUAGAAACAUCACAAGAUGUGAAACGCCUGGAAUGUACAACACAGAGCCCGGUGUUUUCCCACUUAGCAUCUUCUCUCCGGGGACUCUGGACCAUCCGGGCAUACAAAGCUGAACAGAAGUUUCAGGAACUGUUUGAUGCAUACCAGGAUUUGCACUCAGAGGCUUGGUUCCUGCUUUUGAUGACGUCCCGAUGGCUCACUGUGUAUCUGGAUGUCAUCUGUGCCAUCUUUGUCACUGUUGUUGCCUUUGGAACCCUGAUUCUGGCAGGAACUUUGACUCCUGGGCAGGUUGGCCUGGUCCUGUCUCUCACUGUCACACUCACAGGGAUGUUCCAGUGGUGCGUCAGGCAAAGUGCAGAAGUUGAGAACGUGAUGAUUUCAGUAGAAAGGGGGAUUGAAUAUACAGACCUUGAGAAAGAAGCACCCUGGGAACUUGAGUAUCGUCCACCACCAUUGUGGCCCACCAAUGGAAUGAUUUCCUUUUCCAGUGUGAACUUCAGAUAUAACUUGGACAGUCCUCUAGUACUGAGGAACCUGGGAUCACCCAUUUUCCCAGGACAAAUGUGUGGCAUUGUGGGAAGAACAGGAGCUGGAAAAAGUUCCCUCAUUGCUGCCCUUUUUAGAUUGUCAGAACCUGAAGGUGACAUUUAUAUUGAUGACAUCUUGACAACCAAUAUUGGACUUCAUGAUUUAAGGAAGAAAAUGUCAGUUGCACUUCAGGAACCUGUUUUAUUCACUGGAACAAUGAGGAAAAGUCUGGAUCCCUUUAAUGAGCAUACGGAUAAUGAACUGUGGAAUGCCUUAGAAGAGCUACAACUUAAAGAAUCCAUCGAAGUUCUUCCUGCUAAACUGAAUACUGAAUUAGCAGAAUCUGGCUUGAACUUGAGUGUUGGUCAGAAACAACUGGUGUGCCUUGCCAGGACUAUUCUCAGGAAGAAUCAGAUAUUGAUUAUUGACAAAGCCACAUCAUAUGUGGAUCCAAGAACUGAUAAGUUAAUACACAAAAAAAUUCGUGAGCGAUUUGCCCAGUGCACUGUGCUGACCAUUGCACACAAGUUGAGCACCAUUAUUGACUGUGAACUGAUCAAGGUUUUUGAUUCAGGGACAUGGAAAGAAUAUAGUUGGCCAUAUAUUUUGCUGCAAGAUAGAGACAGCCUAUUUUACAAGAUGGUGCAACACCUGGGGGAGGCAGAGGCUGCUGUCCUCGCCAAAAGGUCAAAACAGAGUACAUCAUGAGAAAUGCUGGGCUGGAAGAAGCACAAGCUGGAAUCAAGAUUGCCAGGAGAAAUAUCAGUAACCUCAAAUCUGAAGAUGACACCACCCUUAUAGCUGAAAGCAAAGAAGAACAAAAGAGCCUCUUGAUGAAAGUAGAAGAGGAGAGCAAAAAAGUUGGCUUAAACUCAACAUUCAGAAAACUAAGAUCAUGGCAUCUAGUCCCAUCACUUCAUGGCAAAUAGAUGGGAAAACAAUGGAAACAGUGAGAGACUUUUUUGGGGGGCUCCAAGCUCACUGCAGAUGGUGACCGCAGCCAUGAAAUUAAAAGACACUUGCUCCUUGGAAGAAAUGUUAUGACCAACCUAGACAGCAUAUUAAAAGGCAAAGACAUUACUUUGCCAACAAAGGUGUUCUUCAAAAAGAUAUAGCCAGAUAUUACUCACAGUGAACAUGUGGUUAUGAAUGUUUCCAGUGGACAGCCCUCAGCCUUCACAAUUUCUGAGUCAAAAUUGUGAUUCUACCAUAAGUUCAUGUCAAUUCCAAAGGCUUUUUUUACAAUAGGUUUUGCACUGCAUAGACUAUAUUCUACUUUUUUUACACCAGCAACAAAUAUUUACACAUUACAAGAGGUUAGUUCUCCAACUUCACUUAAUGAUUUAAAGCUCUUGGGAAAGGAUGUAUUAUGUUUAUUUACAUGUUAUAUUACUCACUUUCUUAUCCAAAUCAGAGGUACAGGCCACCAAUAAAAGCUGUCUCCCGGUUUUGUGUCUUGAGAGACUCCAGAGCCAAAUUCAUUUUCUAAGAUUUGAGACAAAGUUGUCACAGAUUUUUUUUUUUUUAAACUGUUGCCAGAAUUACAUAUUACUUUCCAAUUAUAUCAGAGAUUCUGUUUACUUGAAGACUGUGUGAAGUUGCUGCUUUGUGUCACCACUUCCUUUAACAUGACUAGGAUCCAUUUUUCCACCAAAAGACCUCUGGUUAAGAUAUUACAGAGAAAACUGAUAAGAAAACAUACAAUAUACUAUAGUUUAAGUAACAAAACAAAGGCACAUAUGGUUAAAUAUACAGAAGGACAAUAUUAUAUGUUCUCAAAGAGAAGGAAGAGAAAAUAUGCUUUCUCAAAAUAGGAGCCCUUCUAGGGGAUUUGCUAAUGAAGUACAAAUGUGUGCUAGACUGUCUUCUAGAUAGAGGAUUUUAUUUUAUUUUUUUUACAUUACAAAUUGUGGUAAAAUAUUUAUAACAUAAAAUUUUCCAUAUAACUGUUCUUUGUCACACAAUCCAGUGGCAUUAAUCAUGUUCACAGUGUUGUGCAGCCACAUUGUCUGGGUAACUUUUGGUAAUUAUGUGCUUCCUCUUCAGUGUGUUAUACUGCAGAGUCAUUUUGAUAAGUUUCAUUUUUCUAGGAGGAAUGUUUCCUGUGAGUUUUGAGUUUGAUUGACAUAAAUUUAUUCACUAUAUCUUAUAUGUUUAAUCUCUGCAGCAUGUCUAACUGUGUUCUUUUGUCUUUUUAAUUUUCAUUUAGCCUUCUUUUUUAUGAAUAAUCUUGCAUAAUCUUUGUUUUCAAAGAAUCAACUUUUUGCUUGAUUGAUGCUCUCUUUUUUUCCCUAGUUCAUUAUAUCAUUCUUUCUUUCCUUCAACUUUCUUUAACUUUGAAGUUUUUCCUCUAAAUUCUUAAAUUGAAAAGAGAUUAGUAAUGUCAUCAUUUUUCUAACAUAAAUAUAUAAAUCUGACUUCUUCCCUAAGAUCCACUUUAGCUGCAACCUACAACUUUUGGUACUCACCACCGUCAGUAGCCAUAGUAUUAUGUAUUUUCUAAAUCUUAAUUUAAUUCACUAUGUCUUCUACCCAUGGGCUAUUCAUAAGUAUAAUGUUCUCUAAAUUUCAAAUGCUAAUGGAUUUUUUCUUUUAGAUUGAACCAUGUGGAACUGCUAACGUUCAGUCUUUUUAUAAGCUAUAAACUGGCACUUUCAUAUGGUUCAACAUAUAGUUGUCUUUUGUUAUUAAUAUAUAACUUAAUUUCAUUUGGUCAGACAACAUUAGAUUAUGAAUUUUAAACAAAAGGUAACCACAUUCACACUAAAGGUCCUUGUUUCUACCAUUUUGUAUUUUAUUGGGAGUUUUUAAAAUGUUAACAUUUAAUGUUAAAAUGUUAACUGGUACAUGUGUAACCAGUAAUUUUCAAUAAAAAUCCUCCCCAAAUA